rnacentral:rRNA from 1 species
AUUGAACGCUGGCGGCAUGCUUUACACAUGCAAGUCGGACGGCAGCACAGAGAAGCUUGCUUCUUGGGUGGCGAGUGGCGAACGGGUGAGUAAUAUAUCGGAACGUACCGAGUAAUGGGGGAUAACUAAUCGAAAGAUUAGCUAAUACCGCAUAUUCUCUGAGGAGGAAAGCAGGGGACCUUCGGGCCUUGCGUUAUUCGAGCGGCCGAUAUCUGAUUAGCUAGUUGGUGGGGUAAAGGCCUACCAAGGCGACGAUCAGUAGCGGGUCUGAGAGGAUGAUCCGCCACACUGGGACUGAGACACGGCCCAGACUCCUACGGGAGGCAGCAGUGGGGAAUUUUGGACAAUGGGCGCAAGCCUGAUCCAGCCAUGCCGCGUGUCUGAAGAAGGCCUUCGGGUUGUAAAGGACUUUUGUCAGGGAAGAAAAGGCUGUUGCUAAUACCGACAGCUGAUGACGGUACCUGAAGAAUAAGCACCAGCUAACUACGUG